UAGGAGCAGUGGUGUUGAUGAGGUGGU
rnacentral:piRNA from 1 species